AUUGAACGCUGGCGGCAUGCCUUACACAUGCAAGUCGAACGGCAGCACGGGUGCUUGCACCUGGUGGCGAGUGGCGAACGGGUGAGUAAUACAUCGGAACGUACCUUAUCGUGGGGGAUAACGCAGCGAAAGCUGUGCUAAUACCGCAUACGCCCUGAGGGGGAAAGCGGGGGAUCGCAAGACCUCGCGCGAUUAGAGCGGCCGAUGCCUGAUUAGCUUGUUGGUGGGGUAAAAGCCCACCAAGGCGACGAUCAGUAGCUGGUCUGAGAGGACGAUCAGCCACCCUGGGACUGAGAACCGGCCCAGACUCCUACGGGAGGCAGCAGUGGGGAAUUUUGGACAAUGGGGGCAACCCUGAUCCAGCAAUGCCGCGUGAGUGAAGAAGGCCUUCGGGUUGUAAAGCUCUUUUGUCAGGGAAGAAACACCGGCUCUAACACAGUCCGGGAAUGACGGUACCUGAAGAAUAAGCACCGGCUAACUACGUGCCAGCCGCCGCCGUAA
rnacentral:rRNA from 1 species